rnacentral:rRNA from 1 species
GACGAACGCUGGCGGCGUGCUUAACACAUGCAAGUCGAGCGGAAAGGCCACUUCGGUGGUACUCGAGCGGCGCACGGGUGAGUAACACGUGAGUAAUCUGCCCCUCACUUUGGGAUAGCCACCGGAAACGGUGAUUAAUACCGGAUAUGACCAUAUGUCGCAUGGCGUGUGGUGGAAAGUUUUUCGGUGAGGGAUGUGCUCGCGGCCUAUCAGCUUGAUGGUGAGGUAAGGGCUCACCAUGGCUUCGCCGGGUAGGCGGCCUGGGGGGGUGACCGGUCACACUGGGACUGGGAAACGGCCCGAACCCCUACGGGAGGCAGCAGGGGGGAAUAUGGGACAAUGGGCGGAAGCCUGAGCCAGCAACGCCGCGGGGGGGAUAACGGCUUUCGGGUGUUAACCCUCUUUCAGUGCCGAGGAAGCACAAGUGACGGUAGGUACAGAAGAAGCACCGGCCAACUACGUG